GACGAACGCUGGCGGCGUGCUUAACACAUGCAAGUCGAACGGAAAGGCCCUGCUUUUGUGGGGUGCUCGAGUGGCGAACGGGUGAGUAACACGUGAGUAACCUGCCCUUGACUUUGGGAUAACUUCAGGAAACUGGGGCUAAUACCGGAUAGGAGCUCCUGCUGCAUGGUGGGGGUUGGAAAGUUUCGGCGGUUGGGGAUGGACUCGCGGCUUAUCAGAUUGUUGGUGGGGUAGUGGCUUACCAAGGCUUGGGCGGGUAGCCGGCCUGAGAGGGUGACCGGCCACAUUGGGACUGAGAUACGGCACAGACUCCUACGGGAGGCAGGAGUGGGGAAUAUUGCACAAUGGGCGGAAGCCUGAUGCAGCAACGCCGCGUGCGGUAUGACGGCCUUCGGGUUGUAAACCGCUUUCGCCUGUGACGAAGCGUGAGUGACGGUAAUGGGUAAAGAAGCACCGGCUAACUACGUG
rnacentral:rRNA from 1 species